rnacentral:rRNA from 1 species
GACGAACGCUGGCGGCGUGCUUAACACAUGCAAGUCGAGCGGUAAGGCCCUUUCGGGGGUACACGAGCGGCGAACGGGUGAGUAACACGUGGGUGACCUGCCCUCAGCUCUGGGAUAAGCCUGGGAAACUGGGUCUAAUACUGGAUAUGACUCCACGGUGCAUGUCGUGGGGUGGAAAGCCUUGUGCGGCUGAGGAUGGGCCCGCGGCCUAUCAGCUUGUUGGUGGGGUGANGGCCUACCAAGGCGACGACGGGUAGCCGGCCUGAGAGGGCGACCGGCCACACUGGGACUGGAGAUACGGCCCAGACUCCUACGGGAGGCAGCAGUGGGAAUCUUGCGCAAUGGGCGAAAGCCUGACGCAGCGAC